UUUCCCCCCGGAAAAACUAGCAUAUCAAUAAGCGGAGGAAAAGAAACUAACAAGGAUUCCCCUAGUAACUGCGAGUGAAGAGGGAAAAGCUCAAAUUUAAAAUCUGGCGGUUUUGUCGCCCGAGUUGUAAUCUGGAGAAGCGUUUUCCGCGCCGGACCGUGUACAAGUCUCUUGGAACAGAGUGUCAUAGAGGGUGAGAAUCCCGUCCAUGACACGGACUCCCGGUGCUUUGUGAUACGCUCUCGAAGAGUCGAGUUGUUUGGGAAUGCAGCUCAAAAUGGGUGGUAAGCUCCAUCUAAAGCUAAAUAUUGGCGAGAGACCGAUAGCGAACAAGUACCGUGAGGGAAAGAUGAAAAGCACUUUGGAAAGAGAGUAAAACAGUACGUGAAAUUGUUGAAAGGGAAACGCUUGAAGUCAGUCGCAUCUUACUUGACUCAGCCUUGCUUCGGCUUGGUGUAUUUCAAGUAGGAUGGGUCAACAUCGAUUUUGACCGGCGGACAAGGGGUGAAGGAAUGUGGCACUCUUCGGAGUGUGUUAUAACCUUUUCUCAUAUACGUCGGUUGGGAUUGAGGCCCGCAGCGCGCCCUUGUGGCCGGAGGUUCGCCUCACGUAACGCGCUUAGGAUGUUGGCAUAAUGGCUUUAAGCGACCCGUCUUGAAACACGGACCAAGGAGUCUAACAUGCUCGCGAGUGUUAGGGUGGAAAACCCUUGCGCGUAAUGAAAGUGAAAGUUGAGAACCUCCGCAAGGGGGCGCAUCGACGCCCGGCCCUGAAGUUUACUGACGGUGCUGCGGUAGAGCGCGUAUGUUGGGACCCGAAAGAUGGUGAACUAUGCCUGAAUAGGGCGAAGCCAGAGGAAACUCUGGUGGAGGCUCGUAGCGAUUCUGACGUGCAAAUCGAUCGUCAAAUUUGGGUAUAGGGGCGAAAGACUAAUCGACCC
rnacentral:rRNA from 1 species